AAGAGUAUAAUUUAAUAGGAAAAAUAAAAAGCUUCAACCUUUUGUUUCUCAGUUCAAACCUGAGUGCUCUUG
rfam:Arthrobotrys oligospora ATCC 24927 unplaced genomic scaffold scaffold00048, whole genome shotgun sequence.